UACGGGGGGGGGCAAGCGUUGUUCGGAAUUACUGGGCGUAAAGGGCUCGUAGGCGGCCAACUAAGUCGGACGUGAAAUCCCCAGGCUCAACCUGGGAACUGCGUCCGAUACUGGAUGGCUUGAAUUCGGGAGAGGGAUGCAGAAUUCCACGUGUAGCAGUGAAAUGCGUAGAGAUGUGGAGGAACACCGAUGGCGAAGGCAGCCCCCUGGGCUAGCACUGACGCUCAGGCACGAAAGCGUGGGGAGCAAACAGGG
rnacentral:rRNA from 1 species